rnacentral:misc_RNA from 1 species
AUGUCAAAAAAGAAGAAAAAAAUAAGAAACUGGAAGGUGUGGCUACUGAAAAAAAACCGGACUCUGAAGUUGCAGCGGUCGAGGAUGUGAAAGAAGAAGAAAAUAAGGAACCGGAAGGCGUGACAACUGAAAAGGAACUAGACUCUGAAGCUGCAGUAGAAACAACAGAAAACUCCACUGUGUCUUUAAUUCAAGAGUCAACAGCUGAAUCCACAAAAGAUAUAGAAGUUUCAGAUGCAGAAAUGAAGACUUCAGAUGACCUUCCUUCAGCUCUAGAAAUAGAAGACAAGGAAGUGGAAACACCAGGAAUAACCGCUCUUGAAGAACAGGGCCUGGCUAUCCUAGAAGCCGCAAAAGCAACCAUAGCCGAAAAGAUCUCUCCUGAGGCUGUGGCUAGUUCGGAGCCUUCAAAAGAGGAGACAUCUUCAGAUGAGAUCUCUGAUCUUGUGGCUGCUGCAGCUGAUAGCUCGAAAGCAA